AAAGGACUAAGAGGAACAAUUGGCUCUAAAGAUGACGCUGGUUAUUUUCAUUCUCUGGGAAUCCUCGCACUGUGCAGUCCCGCAGGGAGGGAGCAUAGACGACUAAUGACAUGGCCAGGGAACGGGGGAGUGGAGGAGAGGAAACCUGCCGUUUUAUUUUGUGUCUGAAUGUUGUUUUGGUGGCAUAUCUGAAUCUCAGAAUGAAAGCUGAGAUACUGAGCUUGUGGAUCAUAAUGGUUGCCUGGAUUUCCCCCUCCUAACUGCCUUUACCCAACAAAAAUCCAGAGGCUCACAGGACAUAAAAGGCUGAAAACCCAGGAUCCUGACUAUGGAUGGUCAGUUUCUCAGGGAAAUUACUCCUCACACAGGACAGAUGGGAUGACCAAGGAAGAGGAGUUCCUACUUCCUCCAUAGGAAAAAGAGAGGAAGGUUCUGCAGAGGGGAUGCUGGCUGGUUCCCCAACCAAAUAGCCUGACAGUCACCUCCUGGCUGCCUGAGGAUGGCAUUCUCACCUUGCUGAAUCUAUCUGUGCAAUUGCAACUCCCAGAAAGGCGCAGUGGGCCUCCGUGAAAUGCAUGGGUGGUUGCAGAGUAUGCCCUGGGAUGUAAAAUAAUGCAGUAUGUACUUUCUGAAGUAAGAAUGAAAUUGAUGAAAAAGGUGACACUUGAGAUUCUGAGAUUGAAAAGGAAACUGACAUGUAAGAAUUGAAUUCAGGUAAACUAAAAAUAAAAUUGUGGAAUCAAACUUCAAUUCUGAUGCAGUGAAGACCAGAAUUGAAAUCACAAAAAGCCAAAUAAAUAAUGUAGAAAACAAGGUAGAGAAUUUUUCUAUCAAUGCAGAGAAAAGAAACAAAAAAUGAUGACAGAAAAGAUAGGUAAGUUGGUCCAUCAAAAACAAAGACUUACUCUAUGGACAAGAAGGACCCAAGGGAAAUAUAACCAGAACAAAUGACGUUGCUUUACCAUGGAGAAAAACGGAAUAAAAACUUGAGCUAGAAAAAAGAAAUGUACAACUUAAAAUACUGCACCAUGUUCCGGGCAAAAGUAAAGAUGUACACAGACAUAAUCUAGCAAAUUUGUUCAAAUGGAAAAGAUUUUAAAAUAUUCUACAAACAUCCAGACAAAACAAAUGUUACUUAUGAUAAAAAAUGAGAAUAGGCUGAAUUAAGGGUACAGCACAAGACUAGAUGCUACAUGAGAAAUGAGUAAAGUCUAAAUGGUACUAGAAAGUGCUUAUGACUCAAGCUGAAAUGUUAAUUUGCAAAGAAAACAAAAAGAGAUUCUUAGAUAUUCUAGUCAAGGGUUCAAAAAAGAUACCACCCAUGCAUUUUCUUGAAAACAUUAAAGAUACGUUCCAGUGAAACAACAUGUUAAAGACAAAAACUCAAUAGCAAAAAUGAGUUCAAAAGAAUUGUGAUAACCCCAGCUUAACAUACUAAAUUAAGUUUAAAAAAGUUGUAAAUAAAGUACAGUUGGAAAUUUUUCUUGAGAUAGAAUAAAAGUAAUAAAUAUGUCCAUAAUUCUAAAUGAAGUUGGCAAGAAUGGGGGAAAAGGAGUGUAUGUGGGAAAGAAGAGUAUGAAAUUCUUCAUCUUGUAAAGUAAGUCAAAAGUUAUAUCAUUCAUGAAUUUGAUGAUUAGAGAAUGUAUGCAUUCAAGUGUGAUCUUAAAAAAUAAAAUUUGGGCUAGGCACAGUGGCUCACGCCUGUAAUCCUAGCACUUUGGGAAUGCCGAGGUGGGCAGAUCACUUGAGGUCAGGAGUUCAGGACCAGCCUGGCCAACAUGGCGAAAACCUGCCUCUACCAAAAAAUAGAAAAAAAUUAGUUGAUCGUGGUGGCACGCGCCUGUAAUCCCAGCUACUCGGGAGGCUGAGGCAGGAGAAUCAGUCGAACCCAGGAGGCAGAGGUUUCAGUGAACCAAGAUUGCGCCACUACACUCCAGCCUGAGUGACAGAGCAAGACUCCAUCUCAAACAAACAAAAACUGAAUUUGAAGAAUUCAAAGAAAAUACAUACUUAUAGAAAUGGGGAAAAUAAAAACCAAGAAAAAUGUUAAUGCACGUUCAGUAUCCCUUAUCUGAAAUGGUUGGGGCCAGAAGUGUUUUGGAUUUGGGAGAUUUUCAAAUUGGGGAAUAUUUGCAGAGUGUAUACCAGUUGA
rnacentral:lncRNA from 1 species